UGCAAGUCGUGCGAGAAAGUCCCUUCGGGGGCGAGUAAAGCGGCGCACGGGUGAGUAACACGUGGGCAACCUGCCCUUGAGUCUGGGAUAACCCGGGGAAACUCGGGCUAAUACCGGAUACGGCCGUAAGGUCUUCGGAUCUCGCGGAGAAAGAUGGCCUCUGCUUGCAAGCUAUCUCUCGAGGAUGGGCCCGCGUCCUAUCAGCUAGUUGGUGAGGUAACGGCUCACCAAGGCAAAGACGGGUAGCUGGUCUGAGAGGAUGACCAGCCACACUGGAACUGAGAUACGGUCCAGACUCCUACGGGAGGCAGCAGUAGGGAAUUUUGGGCAAUGGGCGAAAGCCUGACCCAGCAACGCCGCGUGUGGGAUGAAGGCCCUCGGGUCGUAAACCACUGUCAGGAGGAAAGAAAAGCCGGACGGAUAAUACCCGGACGGCCUGACGGUACCUCCAAAGGAAGCACCGGCUAACUCCGUGCCAGCAGCCGCGGUAAUACGGAGGGUGCAAGCGUUGUUCGGAAUUACUGGGCGUAAAGCGCGUGUAGGUGGUUCGGUAAGUCGAAUGUGAAAGCCCCGGGCUCAACCCGGGAAGUGCAUCCGAAACUGCCGAACUAGAGUCCCGGAGAGGAAGGCAGAAUUCCCAAUGUAGGGGUGAAAUCCGUAGAUAUUGGGAGGAAUACCGGUGGCGAAGGCGGCCUUCUGGACGGUGACUGACACUCAGACGCGAAAGCGUGGGGAGCAAACAGGAUUAGAUACCCUGGUAGUCCACGCCGUAAACGUUGCGAACUAGGUGUCGGGGGUAUUCACCCCUCCGGUGCCGAAGCUAACGUCUUAAGUUCGCCGCCUGGGAAGUACGGCCGCAAGGCUAAAACUCAAAG
rnacentral:rRNA from 1 species